rnacentral:rRNA from 1 species
UACGAAGGGGGCUAGCGUUGCUCGGAAUCACUGGGCGUAAAGCGCACGUAGGCGGACUCUUAAGUCGGUGGUGAAAUCCUGGAGCUCAACUCCAGAACUGCCUUCGAUACUGAGAGUCUUGAGUCCGGGAGAGGUGAGUGGAACUGCGAGUGUAGAGGUGACAAUUCGUAGAUAUUCGCAAGAACACCAGUGGCGAAGGCGGCUCACUGGCCCGGUACUGACGCUGAGGUGCGAAAGCGUGGGGAGCGAACAGG